AAAAGGGAAAGUCCAAAUAUGACAAUAUCUCCUAGCGGGUUGAACUUGUCCAACUGUCACUCAUAUUCAAUAAGGAACCAGAGGAAAAGAAAUCAAAUUCAGGGGUUGUGAAGUUGAUGACUGAAGCAAAAGCCAAGUACGUAUAUUUUAUUGUUGAAGUUGUGAUAUAAUUAAAUUUACCAUAACUUAUCAGCUUUUAAGUUCUUGGGUCAGUUUUGAACUUAGCUAUAUCUUCUAUUAAAUCUUAAAUUCCAUUCUAUUCAGAGUUUACCUUUUUGUGUUGUGUUAUAUUGGGGGAUGGUGAAUCACGUGUAUUUAUACUUAGUCAGCUCAUUUCAUGGAACAUUUGUAUGAUUUGAAGUUGGCUAAUGUUGCAUAAGUCAAGAACUAGUUUCGAUGUGAGUUUCUGCUAA